AUGCCCAGUGAUUAUAAAAAGACGCGUUAUUCUGAGGAGCACAACCAGCUACCAGUUCUAUCCUCUACCUUUACUCGUUGUGUGACCUCUAUCUUUAAUCUCUCCCUCCUCCUCCUCUUCCUCUCCUCCUCCUUCCUUCAAGCUGGUAGCUGGUCCGCUGACUGCGAUUAUGAGAUAUGAGGGCAU